rnacentral:lncRNA from 1 species
GAGCUGAGGAAGAGUGCACCUCUAGCAAAGUUUUCAGAUCACACCACCUUGAAUGGCAGUGGCUCUUUCACCAGAGGACAGGUUGUUAUUCAGAAGGACAUCAGUAGGCUGCAGAAAGAUACCAGUGGUGAUCUCAGGAGAUCCGGUACAGGUGAAUGCAAAGUCCUAGCCCCGGUCUGGGAAGACAUCUUAUUGCGAUCAAGGCUUGGCAUCAACUGGCUGAAAAGCAGCUUUGUGAAAAAUGACCUGUGAACCUAAGCAGACAGCAGAAGGAACAGAGCCAGCAGAAUCCAAAACAAAGUUAAUCUGAUCAACGGGGAUCAAUAGAAAAGUGAGUGAAGAUUCUUAUUUCUUUGAAGCCAGUGAAGGCAAUGAAAUAAUCCUCCUAAACAAUGAAGGCCUUUAAUUCAGAGUCUUGAACACUGAAAGGCAUUGUGAAGUGGGAUUUGCAGUGUUUCUGGUUUUAAU